rnacentral:rRNA from 1 species
ACAGCUCAAAUUUGAAAUCUGGCUCCUUUGGGGUCCGAGUUGUAAUUUGUAGAGGGUGCUUUGGCGUUGGUUGUGGUCUAAGUUCCUUGGAACAGGACGUCACAGAGGGUGAGAAUCCCGUACGUGGCCGCCAGCCUCCGCCGUGUAAAGCCCCUUCGAUGAGUCGAGUUGUUUGGGAAUGCAGCUCUAAAUGGGAGGUAAAUUUCUUCUAAAGCUAAAUAUUUGCCAGAGACCGAUAGCGCACAAGUAGAGUGAUCGAAAGAUGAAAAGCACUUUGGAAAGAGAGUCAAAAAGCACGUGAAAUUGUUGAAAGGGAAGCGCUUGCAGCUAGACGUGCCUUGGGUUGAUCAGCCGGACUUUUGCCCGGUGCACUCUUCCUUUGGCAGGCCAGCAUCAGUUUGGGCGGCUGGAUAAAGGUCUGUUAAACGUGACUUCCUUCGGGGAGAGCUUAUAGGGCAGACGACAUGCAGCCAGCCUGAACUGAGGUCCGCGCAUCUGCUAGGAUGCUGGCGUAAUAGCUGUAAGCGGCCCGUCUUGAAACACGGACCAAGGAGUCUAACAUCUAUGCGAGUGUUUGGGUGUUAAGCCCGAGCGCGUAAUGAAAGUAAACGGAGGUGGGAACCUUUUAGGUGCACCAUCGACCGAUCCUGAUGUCUUCGGAUGGAUUUGAGUAAGAGCAUAGCUGUUGGGACCCGAAAGAUGGUGAACUAUGCCUGAAUAGGGUGAAGCCAGAGGAAACUCUGGUGGAGGCUCGCAGCGGUUCUGACGUGCAAAUCGAUCGUCAAAUUUGGGCAUAGGGGCGAAAGACUAAUC